GACGAACGCUGGCGGCGUGCCUAAUACAUGCAAGUUGAGCGAUGAAGAUUGGUGCUUGCCCCAAUUUGAAGAGCAGCGAACGGGUGAGUAACGCGUGGGGAAUCUGCCUUUGAGCGGGGGACAACAUUUGGAAACGAAUGCUAAUACCGCAUAACAACUUUAAACAUAAGUUUUAAGUUUGAAAGGUGCAAUUGCAUCACUCAAAGAUGAUCCCGCGUUGUAUUAGCUAGUUGGUGAGGUAAAGGCUCACCAAGGCGAUGAUACAUAGCCGACCUGAGAGGGUGAUCGGCCACAUUGGGACUGAGACACGGCCCAAACUCCUACGGGAGGCAGCAGUAGGGAAUCUUCGGCAAUGGACGAAAGUCUGACCGAGCAACGCCGCGUGAGUGAAGAAGGUUUUCGGAUCGUAAAACUCUGUUGGUAGAGAAGAACGUUGGUGAGAGUGGAAAGCUCAUCAAGUGACGGUAACUACCCAGAAAGGGACGGCUAACUACGUG
rnacentral:rRNA from 1 species